rnacentral:lncRNA from 1 species
AUUAAUCUAGUCCAUGCACUCAUGAUUUCUACCUGGUCUUUACAAUACUUUCUGACAGUAUAGCCAGUCUGCACUGAGAUGGGGAGUAAAAUGUAACAGUCCAGCACAUGGAACUCUGGAGAGCUAAUCUGCCUGGAUUGGAAUUCUUAAACUCCAGCUCUGACACCCAAUAGCUAUGUGUCCUUGGGCAAGUGACUUAACUUCUCUGUGCUCAGGUACCUUCUCUGUAAAACAGGGAGAAAUAAGAGCACCUACCUCUUGAAGUUGUGAGGAUUAAAUGAGCCUUGAGCCAAACAUGUGAAGUGCAUGGAACAAUGCCUGGUGUACAGUAAAAACUGUCUAAGUAUUAGUCAUCAUUAUUAUUGUCAUCUGUCUCUCCACAUCCAGUUUUCCCCUUCCUGAAAAUGGUUUAUAUAUAUUUUACAAGCUUUAUUUUGAAAUAAUUUUGGAUUUGCAAUAGAGUUGUGAAAAUGGUACAGAGUUUUCAUAUGCCCUUCAUUCAUCUUCCCUGAAUGUUAACAUCUUAUAGAACCAUGGUACAUCUAUCAAAACUAAGAAAUUAGUGUUAGUAUAAUACUAUUAACUGAACUACAGAAUUUAUUCAGAUUUCCCCAGGUUUUUUCCCACUAAUGUCUAUUUUUUGUUCCACAAUUUAAUCCAGGAUACAACAUUACAUUUAGUAGUGGAUUAUUUUCAAAUGCAGAUGGUCAAGUUGCAAUGCCCAGGAACAAUUUCUUGGCCUGCCAGACUCUUAGACCAGUGUCAAGUCCUCAACAAGGCCUAAGGGGCCCAUGCCUGCUUCUGCAGCCUCAUCUCACCCUGCUCUGAGGCUUCAAGGAGGAGCCACUGGGAUUUCCAAUCAUCCCCUGCUAUAGACUUUGCAUACUUGGGACCACUUUCGUGAUGGUUUAUAGUGCCUGAUUCACUCCCCAUUAGACUGUCAGCUCCUCCAGGGCAGGGAUCAUGUUGCUGUUGUUCUCUGCUAUAUCUCUGGCACCUAGAACAUGCCUGGUACCUGAUAGGCUUGUAAUGAAAAUGUGUUGAUUAACUCACAUCCUGUGCCACUUUCUGCCAAUCACUUCCCCUCUCUGGACCUCAGUUUUCUCAUCUGCAGACUGAGGAGUUUAAUUUGUUCACUGGUUUUCCAGUUGUGUUUUGGAAACCCUAGAAUUUCCUGGGCUCAACAGGAGCCACAUUUAAAGAGCAUGUGUUUUCAUGUGCUUGAAAAUUGGGCUUUUGAGAAAGAUAUCUCUUAAUGGAUUUUGAAGAUUCUGCUGCUUAAAAAGGUUUGAAAACGUGACAGAUUAUUGUAUAUUAUGAAUUACAUAUAGUUGCAUGAUUUUACAACUCCAUUAUUUAUUUAUUUAUUUUUGCAGGCAGUGGGGAGCCAUGGAAAGUUUCUGAACAGAGAAGCACUUAUUGGGAACUGUCAGAGCUAUGCUUCAGGAGAUGAAUCUGGCAACAACGUGGGUAGGAUGGACAGAUGAUGAUUGGUCAGUGAAGGAGGAGGGGAGUGAGGAGAGAGGGUUGUCAUGGAAGCCAAGUGAGAAGAGGAUUUAAUAGAGGAGGUGGAGGAGGUUGCUAACAGUGUCUGAUGCUGCAGAAAGCAGGUGGGGAUCAGAAGGGGUCUUUGGAAGCAGUGGCAAAACCACCAGUGACCUUUGAGAGAGGGAUGUUGGUGACUAGGCAGGGGCUGAACCCAGAUCAAAGUGGGAGGAGGAGCAACUGGAAGGUGAAAAAGCAGAGGCAGCAGGUAUCCUCUCUGCUUUUGAGAAGUUUGGUGGCGGACGGAAUGAGCAAGGUGGAUGAGAAGCUCGGAGAGGGUUAGCAAGACAGACCAAGAGGCUUAUUUUCUCCUUUUUCAUCGGAAAUCAAAAGCUACUGAGCAUCUUGUAGUCAGAAGGAAAAGAGCUAGUGGACAGUGAGGGAGUGGAGAAGCAAGUGUAAGAAGUGAAAUAGGGUGUCAUUUAUGGAGCAAGUCCUGGGUUGGGGGGCACUGAGGGUGGGAAGGGGUCAGCCUUGGAAAGGAGAAGACCCAUCUUUCUCUGAGCCUGGAGGGAAGGUGAAGAGAGUAGUGAAGGUGGAAGUUUUGGGGUGGAGUAGUGAAGGGGGAAGUUUAUAAUAAGGUCAUUGCAGUACAGUGGGAGCUGAAGUUAUCUGCAGAGAGAGGUUGGAAAGCGGCUUCAGACUUCACAAUUGAGAAGGCCAAAGGGAGUGUUAAGUGGGGUAUGACUACCAAGCUUCCAAAAUCUAUAGGGAGAAAGGAGCAAGCAUCAUCUGUGUGUCUUCAUAGGGAAAAGUCAGGACCAAUGGUCAUAUUUUUGGGGGAGGUAGAUUUCAGUUUAAUCUAGGCAAGACUGUUGAGGGAUCUUAGUUGACCGACAAUGGAUUGACCUCCCAGUCACUUUUCAGACUCAGGCUGCAAGCCCGUUCAUCAGGCAUGCUGUGCAUGGGCUUCUUGCCCUGGCAUGGAGCAUGGAUGCAAUGAGUUCCAUGUUCCCUCCUGGCCCUGAGACUUGAUAACUGCAGGAAUGACAGCCCACUUGAAGAGCAGGCAGUUGGGCUCACCUUUCUCACCCACCUCAGGACUGGAGGCAUGAGGUGGGGAGACUAGACGAGAUCAGCCCUGGGGAACGUACCAUCCCUAGGAAACUCUCCUCUGAGCCCUCCCUUGACUUCCACAGGUUCUUUCAGAGAGGCAGCUGUUGGGCUUGGAAAAGGCCCAAAGUCAAUACAGUAAUGACUUCCCCUCCUGGUCAUAUCCCAGGCCCCUCUGUGUCAUUCAGAAAUUGGCUAAUAAAGUUCACUUUGAUGUGAGAGGAGCCCUAUUAAGAAUUCCCCAAGAUUCCCCAAUCCCCUGAAAUCUGUCAAUAGGAGAAGAUAUGUUGGAGUGGCAUGCUGGAUGGGGGUCACCCCCUUUUGUGUCCCCAGUCCUUACCCUGGUGUCAGUUGAGGCUGAGAGCAAGGGGAGAGGAAAGGAGGAGGAAUCCCAUGAAGAAAGUAUGGCUGAAGCCUUAGCCAACCCCAAAGAGGACCCAGCUGGCAUGGCUACCCUCUUGCCCUAACCUGAGGCCAACCUCACCUCAGGCAGUGCUCCCAGGGUAGAUGGGAAGCCACAGCACCUAAUUACUAUGGUCAUCACGCUGGUGGCUGUGGUGAUUAUGAUGGUGCCUCUGUAUCCCACAGCGCUUAGCAACAUUUAAUUACUGUUAUUCCUAUGGAGAUCACUGCAGAGUCUUGGCUGCCAUUGCUCUUGGGGAUGGAGCAACUACACACAGCUGCACCCACUCCCCAGUCCAAUGAUCCACUGUGUUGAAGUGCUGCCAGGAUGGUUAACAGACACCAGCCUCUCCCUUGUGGGCCAUGGUGUCCCAGCGAUCUGCAUGGCUUUUGGGGCUGAGCUCUGAGAGGUGAUAGGAAGGCCCAAGUUCCAUCUUGAACCAUCUAACUCUCCAGAAAGAAGGGAAAUUGUUCUAUGCCUUGUGUCUGGUCAGAAGGCCCUCAGUAUACUUCUGUGAAUCAUGACGUCCCAAAUCCUAAAGAAUUCUGGUUGUGAGUAGAGGCGGCACUCCUGAUUAGGGAUGGGAGCACUUAAAACUCAACGGUGAUACUGAGAAGAGGGUUUCAUCCAGGAUCCGCAUAGACCGGAGAGCUUAGGUCAUGAAGAUGGGAAGGGACGGAGUGGAGCUUCUGUGUGGAGCAUGCCUUAUGUAGAAAGAUGAAAGGGAAAAGGGCUUUGAGAAAGGAAGAUACUCAACCUCCCACCCACACUUUCCUCCCUUUGAUGAUGCUCUUAUAUCCAGGGAUGGGUGUUAUGGUCAGGAUAAUUAUCAGGAUGGACUACUUGUCUAGAGGAACCAGAUUUUUCUUGCAAGUUAUGUGAAAACCAAGAAAUAGAAGGUAUUGUUAGGGAAGAGCAGAGUUCCUGGAUCAGCCCAACCCCAGCAGAAAAAGCUCAUGGUUGAUGCCUGCCUGGGAGUGGGGAGGUAAGGCUCGGGCUGUGGAGCUGUGGGUCUUGACUCUUUGGUCUCAGACCUUUUCGGGAUCUGAUGAGCGCUGUGUCCCUGAAAACUGCACAUACGCACAAGGACAGUGUUUGCAUGGCAACCUGCUGAAGCCCAGCUGGGGCCUUGAGUUAGGAAUCCCUGCUGAAGAAGGAGUGCUUUGGGAAGGAGGCAGCCCUGAGCCCAGACUCCCUGUGAUCUGGGCUAAUGACUGAUGCUAAUGACAUGGAGAACCCCAAAUGAGGAAAGUCCAACCCAGACCCUUCUAUAAUAUGAAGUGAAAAGAACAAGUAUUAUCCAUAGACUGCAUUAUAAUUCUGUAAAAAUAUACACUUAUAAAGAGAAAAAUGUGAAGGUGACAUGGAGAAAUGAAAAUAAUUUGUGGGUGAAGAGUUUUUAUUUUAUUUAAAAUUUACUUUAAUAUCAUUAUGAGGCUACUUUAAUAAUAGAUUUAAUUUUAUUUCUCUAUUAUGUAAAGUGCUUUUCCUGAAGAAAUGAGCUUUCAAAUUAUAUUUGAUUUAGGUUAAUAUUAAUGCCCUGUACAUCCUGAGUACAUGUUUCCAGAAAGAGGUGAUCCAGGAGGCUGCCAAGUGGCCUGCAGGUGACAUCCAGAGGGCAGAAAAUGCCCAUGCAGGUAACUGAAUUCUGAGGAACAUGAGACCACAUGCUACCAAGGAGGCAGCCAAGGGAGAGGAUGCUGUGUUCUGGAGUUAGGUUUGAGUCCUGGACCUGCCAUUUACUAACCGUGAAACCUGGAGUUUACCUGGGGCUGAGGAGGGGGUGGUUCCCAGGACACGGGACUUUCAGUGCUAAAAUUGGGAAGGUCCUAGGCAAAGUGGGACAAGUUGGUCACCCUAUUAAUAAGCUAUUAAUACCUCUGUCAGCCUCAGUCUCCUCACUUGUAAGAUGACACUGACGACUCCCAGGAUCUUUGUAAAGGCAUUUUGUAUGCCAUCUUCAUACCUGUUGGGGAUGAUGAUUAUCAUUGGUGGGGUGGGAUGGAGGAAGAGAGUGGGGAAAGGGGUGCUUCUCCCCAGCCUUGAGAUCUGAGAGACCAAGAGCCUGUCUGGAUGGGUAUCAUGAUUUGUAUAUGGAGAGCUUAAGACAACUGGUCUCUCACAACUGGCUUUUAACAAUAAUUCGUUCAAGAAAUGUGUAUGGACCACCUACAAUCAGAUCUGUGCUAGGCAUUUGGAUAUUCCGUGAAUGGCUGCAACAUGCUGUCUUCCUUCCUGGGACCAAAGUCUAAUGGGGGAGGCAAGGAUCCAUAAGGAAGUGGACAGCAGGGAAAGCUAGGGACUUCAGGAAUGUCAGGUGUGCAGGGACCCUUCCCUAGUCUAGGGGGUCAGGAAGGGUCAGGGCAUGUUCCUGCAGAGAUGAGUAGAGCUCCCUUGAGGGAUGAGGACUGGCUGGCCAGGGAUGUCAUGUUGUAGAGAAAUCAGGCACAGGAGAAGACAGCAAGAAGGCCCAGAGGCUGGGUGCUCCGAAGGACUGAGAGUAGUUCAUUCAGUCUGGCUGGUGCGGUGCAAGAGGUGAGUGUUAGAGAGGGGCCUGGGGAGUCACGUGCCCAUGUCAUGAGGGCCUUUGUGCUGCAUUAUGGAGUUUGGACUUCAUCCUGAGGGUCACAGGGAGCCGUGCAUGGUAGGGCUGUAGCCCAGCAAGCGUGUUUUAUACCUGGCCACUCAGCAGCCCCAACCCGUAUUGUGCUCAGAUGGCAUUCCUGGUCCAGGCUCUGGUUUGCCUGUUAGGCCCAGGUCCUCUGGGCUCUGUCUGUCUUGCUCUAAGGCUCUGAGCCUAGCCCAUCUGUGGAGCACUUCUGCAGCUCCAAACCUGGUGUAGUCAAUCUGGACAUUCCCCUGGCAGGGGUCUGCUGCCUGGCACAGACUGUGACUCCAGAGAGCAGAGUGGCACUCCCUCCCAAGCAUGCUGCUGUCACCACAGUGUGUCUGUGUGGGUUUGAUGGCUGCGUGGCAAUGGCGCUCAGGGCAUGCCGGGGGCUCACACAGCCCAGGCAGCUGAUGAUUAACAAACAAUUAUACUAAUCGGCCUAGGAACAGGAAGGCAGGUGUGCACCCCUAUGCAUGUGAAUGCACACACAUGCAUGCGCACACACAUUCAGAUUCACUGACAUUUAUGCCCAUCCUUUCAUUGAAACUCAGGCGAGCACAUGGAGAGAUUCCCUGCUACCUGGAUGAGAUGAAUAGGCAUUGUAUUAGUUUACAUGCCAUUACCUUCAUCAGAGACAUGCCCUUUCACCACUGACACAUGGAUGUCACAAAUGCUGUAUACACAGCCUCACAUAGAUGCCCGCACACCUACACUGGCCCAGACCCCUUCUCAUGCCUUUACAAACACAUUACAAGAAUUAAAAAGGAGCAUCCAUAUCAAGUGUCUAGCACAAUGCCUGGCCCAUAGGACCAUUAUAUUCUAUUGGAGCAAUUGACUGCGUUGGAGGGAAAAGCAAAUACCGAUUUCCUUUAGGACUGCCCAGCCUCAGACAGCUGGUCCUGGAAGGUCCUGAGGGUGGGGGGAUCCUGUUCCAUCAGGGCUGUCCUCAACUCUGUGCACUUUCUCUCCCCUCUGUCUAGGUCCACGUGUGGGUCCUUAAGCCCCUUGAGGAAAAGGGAGGAGAAAAGGACAAAGAAGGCUCUCCCUUUCCCUUGGAUCCCCUUCUACUCCCACAUGCCUAGUGGGAGCCUCCCUCUUCUGCUUGAGCCUUCAGGACAGGUUCAGGACCCUGUCUCCUACCUGGCUGGGCCAGAAAUGAGGAACAUGUUGCAAGCCUUCCUCCACCUGACUUGCCAAGUCCAUACAGGCUGGGGCCUUAGAUCCAACAACUUAGAAAGGUAAUGAGGGCAGCUUCCUUCAAAGGGCCAUGUUCAGUGGGGAGGUUGCCUGAUGAUGAAUGGAGAAGUGGAGUGAUGGCC